UCAUUGACAUUUUAAAAACUUCAGAUUCUCUCUUUGAAUUCAAAUGUUUCAAAGAUAUCUUAUUUUAAAAUACCAAAAUACGAAUAGAAUAUGAAGGGCUGGUUAUGAGUAAUAUGAUACACUUUUAUGAGAGGAUGAGAUUACAGUAACAAUACCUCCUCUCAUAGAAUAGCCAGCAAGUCUCCGCUAAAUAAGUGCCUUGAUUUUAUAGAUGUUUAAUCAUGGAUAUUGAGUUAAUCUGAACGAUUUGUAGACACAGGAGUUUAUUAAAGAAUUAUAUAAUAUCUUUGAAGUAUUUAGAAUAGGGUUGAAAUUAAGCCUGCAUCCCCACGAUUUUCAGAGGUGCUGAUGCCUAAUAAACUCAACCCCCUGCAUGCCAAAAUUGGCUUAAAGCCCACCCGUUACCCAAGCUACACUUCAAGCACCAAAGUUCAAAAAUGUAAUUUUAAAUACGCAAGAGUUUGAGGAAUUCACUACUCACACUUUCUUGAACAGUCUAUCCAAGUGCAUCAAGCAAAAUGUGAGUAAAGAAAUUUUGACCAAAGCAUUGAUAGUAAUGUAGAAUACAUUUAAUAGUAGAUCUAAGAUUAAAAGGUGAGAGUGAGGGUGAGAAGAGUAUAUGAAUUCUUCGUGUUCUGACAAAGAGAAUGUAGCACCCAUGUCCUACCUGCUUGGUUGCAUUGCCAGUGCCCACGGUAGGCUAUUUUAUCCAGGUUUUUAGGUUUUGUUUUGUUUUGUUUUGUUUCUUUUCAGGAGAGUUAGUCCAAGACCAAUAACUCCAUAACUGGUAGAAUUGGAAGACUUUAAUAGUGCUUAACAUUUUGUACAUAGCUUUGUAACAGUUUUCUUUUUCUUUUUUUCUGAGAGAUUCUUUUCAAUAUACCCCAUCAUGGUUGAACUCAAAGUCAUUGCUUAUUUAAAAUCUACAACUGCUGACGUUUUGUAUCCUUUGCAUUCCAGAUACAACAGAGAAAUGCAUAAUGUCCAGUGAAUUUAUUAAAGUUCCAAACUCGGUUGCACGCAGUGGCUCACGCCUGUAAUCUCAACACUUCGGGAGGCCGAGGCGUGUGGAUCACGAGGUCAGGAGUUGGAGACUAGCCUGACCAACAUGGUGAAACCCCGUCUCUACUAAAAAUACAAAAAUUAGCCGGGUAUGGUGGCACGCGGCUGUAAUCCCCGCUACUCAGGAGGCUGAGGCAGGAGAAUUGCUUGAACCUGGGAGGCAGAGGUUGCAGUGAGCCGAGAUCGCACCACUGCACUCCAGCCUGAGCGAAAGAGUGAGUGAGACUCCGUCUCAAAAAAAAAAAAAAAAAAAAAGUUGCAAAGUCAUACUCACCUUUCUGCUCUUUUCAGAAAAUUAAGGAGUCUUUGAAUACUUCAGCCCUAAUAGUUUGCUUCCCAACAUACAUAUUGUAGGGUUUAUCUAAUUUUAAAUAUCUUUUUGUUUCAACACCUAAUUUUUUAUUUAGAUCUAUCUCUAUGUUUACAAUAUAUUUUGCUCUUUGUUCAUUCUUUGAUUUCAGAACUUCAACAUUUCUGAACAUGUUUUCAGAGUUUCUUUUUAGUUUCUUUAGUGGAAUUCUGCUGGUGGCGUUUUGUUUUUUGUCUCUAAAUAUGUUAUUUAGCCAUAGGUUGAUGAAUAUGUUUCUUGGCUGAGAAUUUCAGAAUGGCAUUGUUAUUCUUAAGAAAUAAUAUUGUUUAUUUUACCUUUCAUUCUUUCAGAUUUCAAUAUGAUUAAAAGUAAUUUGAUUUUUCUA